AUCCCUCCUGAUAGCAAUAUCGGGAUAAGACCCCUUGGAGACUACAAGGUUGAUAGGUCAGAUGUGUAAGUGCCGAAAGGUAUUUAGCAGACUGAUACUAAUAGGUCGAUCGGCUUGACCAU
rfam:Deltaproteobacteria bacterium RBG_16_49_23 RBG_16_scaffold_4485, whole genome shotgun sequence.